rnacentral:lncRNA from 1 species
GGGUUGGGCAGAGUGAAGGCAGGUCUACUUGAGUUUGAUCCUUGUGACCAAGAAAAAUUAAGGUGAUUCCUCCAUCCUAGAUUGUACGUUGGUGCAUAGGGGUCAUUUGUGGGUCUUUGAUAGGCUGUGCUUACCGGUGCUACUUCAUUCUCGAUUGGACCCAUUAAGAGAGGAUGCCCUUCCAUUGUAUGGUCUGUGGCAUUACAUCCAUUGUAAG